CACAGGUAAACUGGUUGUAGAAAUGGAAAACGCAAUGAAAACGUUGGCAAUUUUAAGUUUAACCAUCUACACAGUGUGUGCUUUCGGUAUUUCAAGCGAUUCUAGACAGGACAGUAACACAUUCUAUACGAUUGCAAACAUACAAUCGCCUUUUGUAUGUGGAAUGCUUUGCUUACAGGCAGUGAGAUGUGAGGCAGUCAAUUUUAGAGCAGCCAACAACACGUGCUUCUUCUUGGACCAAACUAGUACCAGUACUAGGCUACCAGAGACAGGAUAUGUUUCAUCAAAUAUUUCAAGUUGGAAGCCGGAACUAGCUGGACACUGCCAGACAAAACCAUGCAACAACAGUUCCCUCUGUGUACCCAACACAAGUAGCUACAACUGUAUCACAGCUGCAUGGGCGUACUAGAGUACACGAGAUACUAUCGAUGUGGAAAAUCUCUGUAGAUGAGAAUUAAUGUAGUAAUUUUCGUUCGAGAUACAGUCAACGUCAAUUUUCAACGACUUCAUGGACACAGUAUAUAUAUAAUUCACAUUUUACGUUUAAACAUAAUGUAGGAUAGAAAUUUAUGAAAAGCAAUUGGAAAGGACUGUAUUACAAUGUACAUGUAUUGACAGGAAACUCUCGAAUGAAUCACACAAUAUAAAUGAUAUACUCCGAUCCGCUUUAUAAAUAUUUCAAUCUAAAAUCUACAAUGUAAUGUGUAAAUCAUCACACUUUGGAAAUAAAACCUGUGUGUAGCAAUUGUAGAAACAGAAAGCGUGUAAAAUAGUGCGAGAGAGAGAUUCACAAUGGUUAAGGAUUACUUGUCCAUUAUAAUAUGAAUGUGCUCAAUAUUGUAUAUGUUAUUGUUUUACUACCUGUUAGUUUUCAUUAUUUAAGCUGUUAAAUUUUUUUCAAUCAAUAAAGUUUUGAAGUGUUGCUGAUA